rnacentral:rRNA from 1 species
GCAGUAACGGCGAGUGAAGCGGCAACAGCUCAAAUUUGAAAUCUGCCCGCAAGGGCCGAGUUGUAAUUUGUAGAGGAUGUUUUGGGUACCGCCACGGUUUAAUUUUCUUGGAACAGGAAGCCAAAGAGGGUGAGAGUCCCGUCUUGGACCGCGGUAGGGCUCGUGUAAAACUCCUUCGACGAGUCGAGUUGUUUGGGA